rnacentral:rRNA from 1 species
AGUGAACGCUGGCGGUAGGCCUAACACAUGCAAGUCGAACGGCAGCACAGUAAGAGCUUGCUCUUACGGGUGGCGAGUGGCGGACGGGUGCGGAAUACAUCGGAAUCUACUUUUUCGUGGGGGAUAACGUAGGGAAACUUACGCUAAUACCGCAUACGACCUACGGGUGAAAGCAGGGGAUCUUCGGACCUUGCGCGAUUGAAUGAGCCGAUGUCGGAUUAGCUAGUUGGCGGGGUAAAGGCCCACCAAGGCGACGAUCCGUAGCUGGUCUGAGAGGAUGAUCAGCCACACUGGAACUGAGACACGGUCCCGACUCCUACGGGAGGCAGCAGUGGGGAAUAUUGGACAAUGGGCGCAAGCCUGAUCCAGCCAUACCGCGUGGGUGAAGAAGGUCUUCGGGUUGUAAAGCCCUUUUGUUGGGAAAGAAAAGCAGCAGGUUAAUACCCCGCUGUUCUGACGGUACCCAAAGAAUAAGCACCGGCUAACUUCGUG